rnacentral:rRNA from 1 species
ACUCAAAUGAAUUGACGGGGGCCCGCACAAGCAGCGGAGCGUGUGGUUUAAUUCGACGCAACGCGCAGAACCUUACCCAGGCUUGACAUGCACGUGUAAAGUGCGGAAACGUACUCCCCUCUUUGAGGCACGUGCACAGGUGCUGCAUGGCUGUCGUCAGCUCGUGUCGUGAGAUGUUGGGUUAAGUCCCGCAACGAGCGCAACCCUUGUUGGUAGUUAGAUGUUCUCUACCGAGACUGCCGGGAGAAACUCGGAGGAAGGUGAGGAUGACGUCAAGUCAGCACGGCCCUUACGUCUGGGGCUACACACACGCUACAAUGGCCGGUACAACGGGCUGCGAAGCCGCGAGGCGGAGCCAAUCCCAUCAAAGCCGGUCUCAGUUCGGAUUGCAGGCUGCAACUCGCCUGCAUGAAGUCGGAGUUGCUAGUAAUCGCGGGUCAGCACACCGCGAUGAAUAUGUUCCCGGGCCUUGUACACACCGCCCGU